UUAACUAUUAGAUAGUACUCAGACGACACUAACAUUCAGAGUUUAGAUCCUCUGGCACGCGCGAGCCAGCCGGAGCCGGUGCCCGAAGGCGGCGUGCCAAAGCAACAAGUAUAUAAUACGCAAAGGGUGAGGUUUGCUACCCAGAGGGCAGCGAACACUGUAAUGAUCCUUCCGCAGGUUCACCUACGGAAA
rnacentral:misc_RNA from 1 species